rnacentral:lncRNA from 1 species
UGCUCAUUUUCUGAAUAACACAGAGAUGUCUGAUGUGAUAUUUGUGGUGGAGGGAAGGCCGUUUUAUGCCCACAGAGUUCUGCUCAUGUCUGCUUCACAGAGGUUCAGAGACUUGCUGAGUCUCUACAGGAGUAAUGGCACAUCAGACCACAUGGCUAUUGAAAUCACUGACAUAAAAUACAGCACGUUCCAGAUGAUGAUGGCACAUCUUUACUGUGGAGGAG